UCAUCUUCUAUCACAUGGGACUUACGCUUUGACCCUUUCCAAUUCACCUUAUUACUCAUUGUCGGCUUCCUUCACCUUCUUCCCUUAACACCUUAACCCAAACCACCCUCCAUCCUUAUUUCCUUCAAACUUGGAAGACUUAUUCACUCCAUCAAACCCAAAUCCAUUCAUCAACUUAGAAACCCUAUCAUAAUCGAUUGAACCCAUAACUUAGAAAUCCUAAAAAUUGAUUAUAACCCUAGAAAUUGAUUGAACCUAUAACUCAAAAUUCGAUUUAUUUGUUGCCGAAAAUCUAUUGAAACCCUAAAACUGUCUCCUAUCAUAGACAAUACUUCGUGUGUCUAAGAUUUCGGAUUUCGAUUCAAGUAAAAGUAAGCUUUGCAUGUACUAUCUUCUUCUUCACCCUCAAAUUUGAUAAGGUUGCCGAUUUUGUGGUGUAAAAUAUUAAUCAUGCUUCAUGAAUGCUUAACAUGGAUGGAUAUACAAACAAAGAACCAGAGUCGCAGACCAUGAAGAUUAUGUAAAAGCUGGGAGUUACCAUUACCCACAUCAAGGGUAAGGAGAACCUUACAAUUAUGGAGCAUGCUUCUUCUUCAACACAACAAGUCAGCUAACUAGCCUUUAUUAUUAAAUGACGACACACUGAAAUUCAGGAUUUGGGACACAACAGGGCAAGAGAGAUUCAAGGUUCUAUUCGCAUAGGUGCCUUUAUUUAACCGAGUUAAUUAAAAAUACCCAUGAUAUUUAAUGGUUUAUUAUAAAACAUAAGUUAUUUUUUCCUAUACAAGUUAUCAAAGGACUAAUCAUUCAAUGACUUACUUUCUAUAUAAUGAAAUAACUGAUCAAGCCAAUUCCUGUGAAUAAAUAGAGGAUUUUUGUUGAAGUAUCAUAUCAAAUAUGAUAUGUUUUUUAUUCCUUACAUCAAUAUGAUCUGUUUGAGUAUCCUAUGAAAUACGUAUGUGACCACUAUAGUUAAAUUAUUAGAUAUCCAAUAAUGCACUCAUUCUCCUUUUGUUGCAGGGCAUCUUAAUAAUGCAUUCAUCUAGCCUUUUCUUACAUAAAAGUAAGAGUUUUCAUCAUUUUUACCGCUGCUGGAUUCCGUAACGGACAAUCAAUAUUGUUGGGGAUUAUAGGUUAUUCCUGUGAAAUGCUUAUUUUUAAGAUAACCCUCAUAUGUCUUUUUGUAAUGGUUAUCCUUAUAAUAUUUCUCCUUUUGUUGUUCCAUUUUUGAGUAAGCAUUGAUUUGAGUGGUUUGAUUAUGACGUUGAUGUGUACUCUACUGCUUGUCUCAAAUUUAGCCCAGUUGUGGUUCCAUGUGCAAGACUUAGCGGCUUCCCGAGCAGGACAGUUUACCUCUUUCUCCUACAAUCGAGCACAAGAAGUUCCUUUAGGUUGUUGGUACAAUGGGUCUUGCAUUUUCCCUGGAAGAUGUUGCAUUGGCACAUGCUAUGUAUCUCUUAUAGGCAAGGCAUCUCCAAUAUUCAACUAGCAAACAAUGUUGGACUGGAAACUACUCAAUUUGCACUUCAAGAUAUAAGGCUGGAUGAUAAAGCUACCAUGUAUAUUAUUUGCUCUAAAUUCUCUAAGAUUAUACAACAUAUAACUAAAGUGCUUGUUAGUAGACUAUUAUUAUUAUUUAUAAAAAUCAAUGCAUUUUAAUAUUAGAA